rnacentral:rRNA from 1 species
UUUUUGAAUAGAUAAUAUAAAGUCUAAUCUGCCCACUGAUAUAAAUUAAAGGGCUGCAGUAUUUUGACUGUACAAAGGUAGCAUAAUCAUUAGUCUCUUAAUUGGUGACUUGUAUGAAAGAUUUGAUGAGAUAUAAACUGUCUCUUUAUAAUUUUUAAAAUUUAAUUUUUUAGUUAAAAAGCUAAAAUAUAUUUAAAAGACGAGAAGACCCUAUAGAGUUUAAUAUUUAAUAAAUAUAUAUUAAAUAUUUUUUAUAAAAUUUAUAAUUUUAAUAUAAUAAAAUAUUUUAUUGGGGUGAUAGAAAAAUUAAAAUAACUUUUUUUAUAAUUUUACAUUAAUAAAUGAUUAAGUGAUCCGUAAUUUACGAUUAUAAGAAAAAAUUACCUUAGGGAUAACAGCGUAAUUUUUUUUUUUAGUUCAAAUAAGAAAAAAAGUUUGCGACCUCGAUGUUGGAUUAAGAUAAAAUUUAAAUGCAAAAGUUUAAAAUUUUU